rnacentral:rRNA from 1 species
GAUGAACGCUGGCGGCGUGCCUAAUACAUGCAAGUCGAACGCACAGCGAAAGCUGCUUGCACCUUUCAAGUGAGUGGCGAACGGGUGAGUAACACGUGGACAACCUGCCUCAAGGCUGGGGAUAACAUUUGGAAACAGAUGCUAAUACCGAAUAAAACUCAGUGUCGCAUGACACAAAGUUAAAAGGCGCUUUGGCGUCACCUAGAGAUGGAUCAGCGGUGCAUUAGUUAGUUGGUUGGGUAAAGGCCUACCAAGACAAUGAUGCAUAGCCGAGUGGAGAGACUGCACGGCCACAGUGGGACUGAGACACGGCCCAAACUCCUACGGGAGGCUGCAGGAGGGAAUCUUCCACAAGGGGCGAAAGCCUGAUGGAGCAACGCCGCGUGUGUGAUGAAGGCUUUCGGGUCGUAAAGCACUGUUGUAUGGGAAGGACAGCUAGAAUAGGGAAUGAUUUUAGUUUGACGGUACCAUACCAGAAAGGGACGGCUAAAUACGUGCCAGCCGCCGCCGUAA